AACGAACGCUGGCGGCAGGCCUAACACAUGCCAGUCGAGCGAGACCUUCGGGUCUAGCGGCGGACGGGUGAGUAACGCGUGGGAACGUGCCCUUUUCUGCGGAAUAGCCUCGGGAAACUGAGCGUAAUACCGCAUACGCCCUUUGGGGGAAAGAUUUAUCGGAAAAGGAUCGGCCCGCGUUGGAUUAGGUAGUUGGUGGGGUAAUGGCCUACCAAGCCUACGAUCCAUAGCUGGUUUGAGAGGAUGAUCAGCCACACUGGGACUGAGACACGGCCCAGACUCCUACGGGAGGCAGCAGUGGGGAAUCUUAGACAAUGGGGGCAACCCUGAUCUAGCCAUGCCGCGUGAGUGAUGAAGGCCUUAGGGUUGUAAAGCUCUUUCAGCUGGGAAGAUAAUGACGGUACCAGCAGAAGAAGCCCCGGCUAACUCCGUG
rnacentral:rRNA from 1 species